rnacentral:rRNA from 1 species
ACUGCUCAGUAACACGUGGAUAACCUGCCCUUGGGUCCGGCAUAACCCCGGGAAACUGGGGAUAAUUCCGGAUAACGCAUAUAUGCUGGAAUGCUUUCUGCGUAAAAUGGAUUCGUCUGCCCAAGGAUGGGUCUGCGGCCUAUCAGGUAGUAGUGGGUGUAAUGUACCUACUAGCCGACGACGGGUACGGGUUGUGAGAGCAAGAGCCCGGAGAUGGAUUCUGAGACAUGAAUCCAGGCCCUACGGGGCGCAGCAGGCGCGAAAACUUUACAAUGCGGGAAACCGUGAUAAGGGGACACCGAGUGCCAGCAUCAUAUGCUGGCUGUCCGGGUGUGUAAAAUACACCCGUUAGCAAGGGCCGGGCAAGACCGGUGCCAGCCGCCGCGGUAACACCGGCGGCCCGAGUGGUGAUCGUGAUUAUUGGGUCUAAAGGGUCCGUAGCCGGUUUGGUCAGUCCUCCGGGAAAUCUGAUAGCUCAACUAUUAGGCUUUCGGGGGAUACUGCCAGGCUUGGAACCGGGAGAGGUAAGAGGUACUACAGGGGUAGGAGUGAAAUCUUGUAAUCCCUGUGGGACCACCUGUGGCGAAGGCGUCUUACCAGAACGGGUUCGACGGUGAGGGACGAAAGCUGGGGGCACGAACCGGAUUAGAUACCCGGGUAGUCCCAGCCGUAAACGAUGCUCGCUAGGUGUCAGGCAUGGCGCGACCGUGUCUGGUGCCGCAGGGAAGCCGUGAAGCGAGCCACCUGGGAAGUACGGCCGCAAGGCUGAAACUUAAAGGAAUUGGCGGGGGAGCA